AUUUCAAAUCCAGUUAUUAAAAAUCUUCCCCUUCACUUUGUUCUGUCUGCCUUUUCAAGGUAUGUGCAUGACUUUAGCUAAAUUAGGAGUGUUUGUGAAUUACUUGAAGGAAAGAAAAAGGUUAAAAAUCCUGUCUCCUCUCUCUCUUGCCCUAGCACUUUCUAAAUAUAAAGCUCCUCAUGGAUGGCCACUUCAGUAGCAGGAGAAUGUUCUCUUAAGUUCAGUUCUCCUUUCUUGUCAGUCUCCCUCCUUAUUUCCUAGAAAACCUUUCUGCUGUUUGUCUGUGUUGGUGGCUGAGGCUCAGAAACUCCUACCCACCUUUCACUCAAGUUGGCGCCGGCUCUCAAACCGAAGGGAAGGAGUUCCUGUUGUGAGUCCAGAUGUUUGUGCUCGCAUCACUGCGACUCGCCAUCAAGUCUGAGCAUUGUGCGACAUUAAAUCUGUCCUCGAGGCCUGGAAGGGAAGCCCAUCUUGAUAAGAGUUCAGUGUCCUCAGAGUGAAAUAGCCGAAAGGGGGGAAGAAGCACCAUCUUCAUGAACUAUGAUCCCAUUGCUGUUUAUUUCUGUGCUUCAUUUACGCUGGCAUUUAACACAAGUGUGGUUUUAAAACACCUAAGAGCCCCCCUUAAAACCUAAGUAACUGGCAAAUGGUUAGAAUAAUCUAUAAAGCAGUUUUUUUUUUUUUUUUCCUGUAAGGAGCUUGAAGAAAAUGGGAAAACUGGCAGUUGUCUUUGUAAGGCAAAGGCAUUAUUUGUGGCUAAUCCACCGGGCCUCUGUGGAAGCUUUCACCCCCCCAUAUUGCCAGUACUUGGUGAGUGCUCAGGCAAAAUGAAGCAAAGGGUAGAGCAAUUAUCCAGAGACUGUGAACACAGAAAGACUUUAUGUUGGAUAUUUAGGCAAGAAUUCUCUAGUGUCUGCUCCUACUUGGCGAAUCCUGCAUGGGUUGUUGGCUGGCAUAGCUGGAUAGGGAUCUUCUUUACUCUUGAAGGAGCUGGCUUACCCAUCCUUUUCCUCCCAUCAUGCCUGGGAAAUUGUGUCCUCUGGCUGCUGAGGGAAGAUGGACCCUCUUGGUGAUAGUCAUCACCUUGGGCCUUUGAGAGCCAGCCUGUUUCCCCCUUGAACCAGGCCUUGUCUGCAUGAGUCCUGUCCCCUGAGAGAAGGUGUCCUUCCCAAGAAGGCACCUGUGUCAGGGCCGCACAGCCCAGAGACGGCUGGAGGAAUGGCCUGCGAGGUUGGACUCAAGGCCUAGGCGCUCUGCUGGAUAGGCCUUGAGUCCCAGGUUCUAGACAGUGUUCUUUUCUGUAACUUCUGUGUGAGUUUCUGUUUCUGCAGUUCCUGCUCUGCCCUUAUGAGUCCUCGCAGCAGCCCUUUCAUGGCAGUUAUUCAGCAGCUAUGAGGUGCCAGUCUUCUGUGACAUGCACGCUUUGACCUGAAGCCCCAGAUCAUCUUCUCAUAACUCUGUAAGAACUCUCAGUGGCUACUUCACAUUAAAAAGAUUAAAGCAGGGAAAAGAAAUUUCAGCUCGAACCAGCUCAUUAAUACUAGUUACCCUGUAGGCAUAAAGAAUUCUUAAGUUUUAAACAUUUCUUCCUUUUUUUUUUUUUGGCUUUUGUCUUUUUAGGGCUGUACCUGUGGCAUAUGGAAGUUCCCAGACUAGGGGUUAAAUUGCAGCUGUAGCUGCCAGCCUACGCCACAGUCACAGCAAUUCCAGAUGCGAGCUGUGUCUGUGACCUACACCACAGUUCAUGGCAAGGCCGGAUCCUUAACCCAGUGAGCAGGGCCAGGGAUCGAACCCAUGUCCUCAUGGAUACUAGUUGGAUUCAUUAACCACUGAGCCACGAUGGGAACUCCUCUUUCUUUCUUUGCCCAUGGCAUGCGAAUUCCCCAGGCCAGGGGUCAGACCCAUGCCACAGCAGCAUCUUAAUGGUUACAACACCAGAUCCUUAACCUACUAGGCCAUCAGGGAACUCCUCUUGUUUUUUUUUUUUUUUUUAAUGAACGGCAAGUUGAGUUGGGUGGCAUUCAGAUAUUUCUUGAAAUAGUAAUAAAUUUUAAAAAGAUUUUUUCUAGGGAGUUCCUGCUGUCGUGGGUGCAGUGGGUUAAAAAUCCAACUGCAGUGGCUCAGGUUGCUGUUCAAUCCCUGGUCCAGCACAGCGGGUUAAGGGAUCUGGCAUUGCUGCUGCUGUGGCUCAGUUUCAACCCCUGGCUUGGGAACAUCCGUUUGCCACGGGUGUGGCCAUUAAAAAAAAAAAAAAAAGAUUCUUUUUAAAAUCAAGAGUGUUAGCUACUUUCUUGGAAAAAAACAAACAGGAAUACUAAAGGACAGCAAUAGUUGGGCAGAUAUAAAUGUUAAAAAGAGAGUGGGGAUCAGUUAUACCCGUUAGUCAAAGAGAUAAGACAGGUGUAAUUGGCGUAAGCUUGAUGGAAAAAAGGACGUUUAGUAUAAGGAAAAAACUCAUUAUAAGUACAAGGAAAUUUUGGCGUUUCCCUCUUGUGCUGCUUAUGACAAUUCAAUUAUAGUAUAGUCAUAUUUCUUAUUUUGUAAUUGUUAAUUGGUUAAGGCAUAGAUCAUCUUUAUGAAAUUUUCCUCCGUGUGUGUGUGUGUGUGUGUGUGUGUUUUACUAGCUCCCUUCAUCUGGGAAAAUCUCACAACCCAGAAUUACUCUUUGUUUCCACUGCCAUGAAUGAUGUAGAAGGUUGCUUGUGAAGACAUCUCCCCACCGUUUUUUGCCCCCUAGAGUCUAAUUCUGGGGUUUUUUGUGCCUUCUUGGUUUAGUACUUGUCUCUUUUCUGAUCAUCACUGACUUUCAUGUAAGUGCAGACAGUGAGGCAGAAUCUAAGCAAAUGGAGGGGUCAAUUCAUGUUUCAUUGUAUUUUCUCUGUCCAUCACCUAUUUUAAAAGCUUAUCUGAUUGUAUAUUCUUUCAUAGUUUGCUUGGCGUUCUUACCUUUUGGUCUAGAAAGAGAGAGAAGGGGAGAGAGAGAGGCAUUUGAAGUUUGUUGCCACCUAAUGUCACCUGUGCUUCUGCAGGUGAUUUGCAUGCCACCUGGUCUCCACCAUCUCUGGGCUGUAACUCAGUAACCAUGGGUAGCCUGACUUUCAACAGCUGCUGAACCUCUUUGUCUCUAAGCAGGGGUGGUGAAGGCUAUUUUAGCAAGGAAAAUAGCAUGUGGCUUUCCAAGCUGCAUGAACUACAUCUAUUGUGACUGGAUGAAUUACAUAUUCAUGAAAACUUUGAAAUGGAAUAUCCUCCACUUGCUAAACGCUGACUUGGCCCGGCAAACAGUAUGCAGCUCUGGCUCACUCAUUUCUUUAUAUGCGCAUCGCGAUGGCAGGUUUCUAGGACAUACCGUGAGAAUAAAGCUGGGAAGAGUUCUGCAUAUCCCAGGAAAAUGGAAUUCCAUGAUGAUCACGUUUUUAUUUCAUACCAACAAGUACUUAUUAGAUGCAAUACUGUAUCAUUAGGAAAGGAAAUUGCUAAUCACAGUGAUGAAUUUUGAUGUUUCUAUUUUAUUUUAUUUUAUUUUAUUUUAUUUUAUUGUCUUUUUGGGCCACACCCAUGGCAUAUGGAGGUUCCUGGGUUAGGGGUCGAAUUGGAGCUGUAGCCGCCCGCCUACACCACAGCCAUAGCCAUGCUAGAUCUGAGCCGCAUCUGUGACCUACACCACAGCUCACAGCAGUGCCUCAUCCUUAACCCGCUGAGCGAGGCCAGAGAUCAAACCCAAGUCCUCAUGGAUACUAGUCAGGUUCGUUAACUGCUGAGCCAUGAUGGAAACACCUCUAUUUCUUUUUAAUUCCUGAUUAAUUAGCAGAGAAUCAUAGAAACUCUAUUUUAUGGAUGGAAAAAAUGAAACCAGUAACACUGAUGACCAAAGAGACUGUGACCUUUGAAAUGCUGUCCUUGGUUCUGUUCAUAGCUCAUCAGGGUGUAGUUUCAAUGCCGGUCAAGUUCAUGUACAUGCUGUUGCUCCAGCUUUUAGCCCAAUUCCUUCUCUGCCCUCAGAUCUCCCCAUUUGACAUUCUCUGCUGGGCUGGGUGUGCUGGAUGGAUGGGUCUGAUCGCAGCUGUUCACGCUUCCUCCCAGGGCUUGGUUCCUACAGGGGCUGAGGAGAGAUUCCCUUGCAACGAAGGCUCCAGAUAGGAUUUAGGGCUCUGCUCAUCAGAUGCCUUCACACAAGGCUUAAAUUCAGGAGUUCCGGGUGUGGCUCAGUGGUUAGCGGAUCCGACUAAGAACCAUGAGGUUACAGGUUCGAUCCCUGGCCUUGCUCACUGGGUUAAGGAUCUGGUGUUGCCAUGAGCUGUGGUGUAGGCCACAGACACAGCUUGGAUCCCGAGUUGCUGUGGCUGUGGCAUAGGCCAGUGGCUAUAGCUCUGAUUAGACUUCUAGCCUGGGAACCUCCAUAUGCCA
rnacentral:lncRNA from 1 species